AUGGCGAUGGCGGCGUCGUGGUGGGCGCUGCUGAUGGCGGUGGUGGCUGCGGCGGCGGCGGGGUGCGGCGAGGCGGCGCCGACGGCGGCGGCCGAGGCGGCGCACGACGUGCUGCAGUCCCACGGCCUCCCGCGCGGGCUGCUCCCCGCCGGGAUCGCGGCGUUCACGCACGACCCCGCCACCGGCCGGUUCGAGGCGGUCCUGGAGUCCCCCUGCACGGCGCGCACCGAGGUUGGCCUGCGGUACAACGUGACCGUCGCCGGGCAGAUCACGUACGGCCGGAUCGCGGAGCUCUCGGGUGUCGACGCGCAGGACCUCUUCCUCUGGUUCGCCGUGCGCAGCAUCCGCGUUGACGUGCCCUCCUCCGGCGUCAUCUACUUCGACGUCGGGGUCGUCUACAAGCACUUCCCUCUGUCGUUCUUCGAGGCCCCGCCGCCGUGCGUGCCCACCUCGCUCAUCCUCCUGCAACCACAUCAGAUUAGGGACGACGGAUCAGUGGUGGAAGACGGCGCCGCGUUGCAACAAUGA
rnacentral:rRNA from 1 species